UAGGACAGUCCGUCGCCUAGUAGCUCCCGAAGUCCACCGACUUCACUGUAAUUUGUGCACCAUUGUCUGGAUCCUGGGCCUCUACCCCUACCAGCACAAUCUCCACUGCGCACUGCUUCCUUCAUGGCAACUUGAAUGGCAACACUAUGGCAUAUUCUUCAAGAGUACCCGCCUCUGCGUCCUCUUGCCCCGUGCUAAGGCCUUCUGAACCCAACUUCGCCUCC
rnacentral:lncRNA from 1 species